AUACCUUUCUCGGCCUUUUGGCUAAGAUCAAGUGUAGUAUCUGUUCUUAUCAGUUUAAUAUCUGAUACGUGGGCCAACGGUCCACACGAUAUUAAAUUUAUUUCUUGAGGGGGAGAGUCCAUUACAAUAGCUUGCUAUUGGGUCUCUUGAGUGUUACCUUUGUGUUGCACUACUGCAUUGGGUUGGUGCACCCCAC
rfam:Cicer arietinum chromosome Ca6, whole genome shotgun sequence.